rnacentral:lncRNA from 1 species
GAAUCAUGGCACAGGAUCGAAUGUCACAACUUUACUAUAUAAUAGGAGUUCUAUACAAAAUAAAUAAUUACAUAUAAGGAGGCAACGGUCCAGCAAUCCAAAGUUGACUGGGAGACGACGGCCUAGAUCUCUCUCACGAACUCAUCGCAGCAUCCUCCAUGCGCCUCAUCCUGUGGUACCUGUUCUUGACCUGUGGGGGGGUGUGAGACAGCAAGAGUGAGCUCACAUAUGUUCAUCGCUCAACAAGUUGUGGGGAAUAAUGUGCAUGAACUCGCCAAAGGUGGGAGCUCACGUGAAGUGUAAGGCUUACCAAAGAGGAUUGUUAGAGCUGAGCAUUGCUUUUAAAGUUGGUCAAAAUUUUAUUAGCAAUUACUAUGUAUAAGUAAAUACCAACCCAAUUAAGUAGUAGAACAAAAGUAACAACAUCACCUGCGAUGCAAUGCAUAUGACAAAUUGAAUUUAGUUCCAUAAAUUAAUCAUCAGAGAGUCCUGAGCUGCUCAUGACCGUGAGCUCGGCUAGUAUACCAGUUUUACACUCUGCAGAGGUGGUACCCUUUACCCACAAGUCAUGUUACCCAUCUGCCAAGGGAUCGCGACUUCCCAUACACCUCUACCAAGGAGGCGAGGCAGGGUAACACUACGAGGCCUUUACAAAGUUCCACUAGCUUCAGAAAACCCGCUACAGUUUAUAGGAAGCUCCAAUGCAGGGUUCUUGCCUGACCGCCAUCGCAGCAAAAUCAACCAAGGACCUCCCUACACUGACCACUCCCCUACUGCCCUUGCCCCUUUCGGGUAAGGUGGUCCUCCACUAGCUUUCCUAAUUAAUCAGCCAAGGGCGUCCAUAAACCCUUGUGGUGGCACGUGUUUCUCAAGUUAAGCUCUAUGUUCCAAUUAACAUUAAUGAUCUUGACAUGAACAGUAAAUAACAACGGAUAACAAAAGUAUAAUCAUGAAUAAUGUGUAUCUCAAUGCCCAAAACCACAUAUAGCACUAGCAAGUACUACCCAAAAAGUUCAGUGGUAAACAAGGCAUAAAGAUAGACAAACUAGGGUAACCUAUUAGGUCCCAUCAAAAUUAACCUAUGCAGAUCAUUAUGAUUAAUUAGAACAUGAGUGGGUAAAAGUAGUGAUCAAGGGCACAACUUGCCUGGCACUUGAGAUCCAGGUAACAGGGUGAUUCCUCAGAUCCUCGUAACCGCACUGCUAGUCGUAGCAAUACAAGCAGACAUGGUAUAGACAAAAAUUAACAUCACACCAAUCAUAAGUACAUACUGCAUAAUAAUAGUCUACGCGUCACAACGAGAUCGCGGGCACGAGAACUACGAUCGGAUUUACUAGUAAGGAGUUAUGAUUUUAUAGAAGAUCUGCGUGAUUAAAAUAUUAAACUAUAUUAUAAUUUGGUUAAUAUAAAUCAUACGAGAGGUUAUUAUAUAAAUAAUUAUCUUAACUUAAAUAUAAGUUAUAAAUUGACCCUAGAUCAUAUUCUAGUAGAUUACAAUUAUAAGCAGUUUAACUAGACUAACUCAUAUAAGUUAAAUAAAGAUCUAAUUAUAAAAUAAAGAGACAUGGUAUAAUAAAUGUUGUUAUUGCAUAGUAACUAUUUAUACGAGACUAACGCAACUUGAACGAGUCAAAUCGGAUUUAAAACAGAGGAGUUAUGAUUUUCUGAAGAUUCUAUGUGUUUUGUACAAGAUUAAAUAAGAUAUAAUUUUUAAGGUGACUUUCAUGUCAAAACAGUGGUACUAGAUGAUAGACAAUAAUAUAAAAAAAUUAUAGGAAUUGGAACAGAUUAAUUUGGGCUUAAUAUGAAUUUUCUAUGAAUUAUCCGAGUUUUACAAUUAUUUUUAUACUAAAAAUCAAUUUAUAAAUCUAUUUUUCUGGUUUUAUUUAAUUCCUGGACUGUGCCUCAAUUUAUAUAGAAGGAAGGGGCCUCUGCGCCAAGAUUCUAAGACACAGCGCACAGACGCGAGGGAUGGCGGGUUGGUUCCUAGGAAGUUCAGGGACUCUUUGAUAAAUGUCCCUGGCCGAAAGGGUCGGCAGGUUACGGCCGACCGAUCGAUCACCGACUGACCAGAUUAGAUGUUGCUUUCAUUGAAUCGGUAAGCUAAUAAGGACUGUCUGAUUGAAGGUUGUCGGCCCAGAUUCAACCACACCGAGAUCGAGCCCGAGCCGCUCGAUCACCGAUAGGUGGCCUGCAUUUCAUCUGGCCAAACCGGUACACAGGUGAAAUCCUAACCGUUGAUCUAUUACCCAACGGCCCGAGGCCAUCUUCCACCUCGCCCUCCUAUCGCACCAUGUCUCGACUCUUGACGACGGCGACCCGCCCGCCAUGGGGCGCCAUGGCCAAAAUUCCAAGCCAUGCCAAGGUGAUCUAGCCCAUAAACUAAAUGGAUCAACGCGCAGAGGAGGAUGUGGUUCUUUACCGGAGAUGAGGGGGCCGAAUAGGCUGUCCACGCGAACAGGACGCUUCACAUGGAGCUCCCGCGCUGGUGAUCCGGCCACCGGUCCAAUCCCGCCAGGCGAGGCCAUGACAGACCUCUUGGUGGACCCAGCCAUCCCCAUGGCCCGCUCCCUAGGGAUCAACAUCGGCUAGCCGGAGUCCCCGGCGGCGGCUCCCUCCACGACCAACAUGCUUCUGCCGCCCAGCCCGAUGGUGGAUUUGGAUAGGUGUUUUCUGGAAUUGGGAGGGAAGGAGAAGCACCGGGCUCGCUUUUAUGGUACAGUAGGGGCGGUUUGGCUGGUCCGCAGCUUGCGCGCGGCCACGCCGGACACGGAAUUCCGUUGAAGAAGACUGCACAGUCGGCCGCACAGCUCACGCGAGGAGGAGUUUCUGACAGUCAGGGCCCACCUGCAAGUGGCGAAAGCGCGAGGUAUAGCAGAUGGGCGGUCGAUCGUGUAGUAUUUAUACAUCGGCAUCAUAGCCCGAGUACAUACGUCUGGCCGAACGGAUUCGUCUGUGCCCCCGAGAUGUUAGCAAUUGUUGGUCCUUAGAUGACGACCAUUUGUUGCAGCGACCACAAAAAUCACGGAAGGGAUCUCAACGGACUAGGAACGAAGAGCUUGAGCAUGCAAUUUUUACGGAGGUGGUUGCAAUGGAAUACGAUCGCGUGGAAGAUAAGCUAUGCGCAUGGGAGAGGCUGGACCACGGG